rnacentral:rRNA from 1 species
UUGUUCGGAUUCACUGGGCGUAAAGGGUGCGUAGGUGGCGUGGUAAGUUUGAUGUGAAAGCUCAGGGCUUAACCCUGAAAUGGCAUUGAAUACUACUGUGCUGGAGGUUUGGAGGGGGGACUGGAAUUCUUGGUGUAGCAGUGAAAUGCGUAGAUAUCAAGAGGAACACCAGUGGCGAAGGCGAGUCCCUGGACAACACCUGACACUGAGGCACGAAAGCUAGGGGAGCAAACAGG